GUCCCCAUAGACUAGUGGUCAGGUCACGGGCCUUUCACGCCCGGAGCAGGGGUUCAAAUCCCCUUGGGGAUA
rnacentral:tRNA from 1 species